UCUAGAAAUAUGGCAAAGAGUUGCCUUGGAGAUUUUUUCCUAAUCUGUUCAUAUAAAAAAUAAGGAAAACGUAGAGAAUGAAGAAAGUGAACAAACGUUAUUAUCUGUUAUACAUGCAUCUUUGAAAAAUAUCAAACAUUUAGUAGUGGAAAAUAUAUUUUACAUCAGUAGAAGUGAACUCUUUGUAUGCAAAAUGAGAUAUAGGCAUUUAUUUAAUUUGUAUAAAAUAUAUUUCUUAUCAUCUUUUAUAUUAUUUUGAAAUAUCAUACUUUGUCAUACCAGGCAAAAAUUAUCAUAAAGAUAACAAAUUAUUAUUUAGUGUGUUGCUCAAUAAAUGUGAUGCAAAAAGUUUAAUGAUGAUAUGUGCUGUUAUAAUAAAAGAACAUUCAAUUUUAAAUCUGUAUACUAUGGUACUAAAUGCAAAAAACAACGGAUUUUAAUUGUAUAAAAUACCAUUUAGAAGCUUAUCUUUUAAAGUAUUUUAAUACCUGUAUAAAAAUGAGAC
rnacentral:misc_RNA from 1 species